CAGGGUCAGGCCCCAAGGCUAGAACGAGAGGGGCCUCGCUGCCCACCCUGCCCGGCGGAGAACCCGCCGGACGUUAAGGAUGACAGGUCUCUGGACCGAAACAACUCCAGAAUCGCGACACGAGGUGUCAGCCGAGAACUCGGAAGAGUGGAGGGAAGACUAUUUGUCCUGCUCCACAGGGAGGGGAAAAGGCUCUCUGUGUCCGCGUGCAUCGGGGCCGGGCGAGCCUUGACUGGAGCCUCUGCCUGGGGCCAGCGCGCUUCUGCUCGUGGCUGAGGGAGGUGACUUCCGAUGGGAUGUGAUUUCAGGACUGGAAACUUACCUGAGGUUCCUGGAAGACCUGGUUCUCCCAGCUGCCAGCUGCCUGGGGAUGGGAGCGCCAGAGAAAAUGUUUGCGAGCCUCUAGUGUCCUGUAUUUGUUCCCGAGGUGUGUUCCGUGGAACAGUCUCCUCAGGUACCCUGCAUUUAAAAAGGCUUCCAUGCUCAGGUGAGUCUGGCAGAGUCUGCAUGCCAUAGUUCACUUUCAGAUAAUCAUUGUCCACACUGGCGUUUUAAAGGACCUGAGAAGUCCUGCAGUGAGCAGCCAGUUUCCAAAGCAUAUUUGCCUUCAGAACAGUCUCCACUCCCAUUACACCUGUAAACAGCCUUUGAACUAAGAGAAAUCUCCUGCAGAAGCUUCCAGGCGGGACCUUGGGCAGGUGGGGGUAUUUUCAGGCAAGGUUCCAGCCCAUCGUUUGGUUGGACCUGCUCCCACAGUCCCCAUAUCACUUCGAAGGCAUGUUGGAGGUGAUUUUGUCCGGUCAUCUCAUGUUGCAGAUCGGGAGCUGGGGGUUGCUCAUGGUCCUCUCACUCGCUGUCUCUUCUGCCUGGAGGGCUCCUCUCUGGGUGUCCACCUGUCUUCAUGUUUUGCUUCCUCUGGACAUUGGCCCACACGUCACCUUUCCCAUGGGGGCUUUCCGACCACCCUGACUCAAGCCUGUCUUCUGCUUCCCAGCCACCUCUGAGCUGUUUCUCUCCGUACGCCCUACACUGAUGUAUUUUUAAAAAUUGCACGUCAGCCUCGUGAGGACCCUAACGUCCGGGGAUUGUUGUCUGUCGGGCUGUGUCACAGCCUAGACUAGCGCACGACGCGUCCACGCUGCAUCUGCUGUGUGCGGUUGUGCUGGUCGCCUCCUGCGUCCUCCGGCGGGAAAGCAGGUGAAUCCUAGCAUCCUGUGUGUUUGGAGUCAGUCCUGAUUCUGGCACUCAGUAAUCGCUACUAAGUUUGUGCUCGGUUUCAGCUAGAGCCCAGUGAGAUAAACGAAGCUCAGGUUUAUUUUAUUAUCCUCUUCCCAGCCGGAGCUCCAGGGCAGAUAGGGCAAGUCCCCAGCCUCCAGGGACCUGGGCUCCUCUUAUCUGGCUGAGCCAGCGCCCUGAGAGCCUGGUUCCCGCCCCACCCUCUCCUGGCCGCGGGAGCGCCGGUCUGGACCUCUGUGUUGCCGGCAGGGGGGCAGUUCAGUCUCCCCUGAAGAGUCUUCUCGGUGAUUUUUGCUUCUCUUUCCUUGGCUUUCCCUGGCUAGGAAAUGUAGUAUUUGGCACGGACAUGUUGCCAACCCAAAUAAAACUCAGGAACACGCAUUUCGGGCAGGUACCUAGCCGUGUCUGACGCAGGAACUGCCUAAUUUUGGGCAGGUAAU